rnacentral:rRNA from 1 species
AACACAUGCAAGUCGAACGCGAAAUGGAGCAAUCCAUGAGUAGAGUGGCAAACGGGUGAGUAACACGUGGGUGACCUGCCUUCGAGCGGGGGAUAACGUCCCGAAAGGGACGCUAAUACCGCAUAACAUCCUGCCUUUUAAGAGGUGGAGAUCAAAGCCGGGGAUUCGCAAGAACCUGGCACUUGAAGAGGGGCCCGCGCCUGAUUAGCUAGUUGGUGGGGUAAUGGCCUACCAAGGCAACGAUCAGUAUCCGGCCUGAGAGGGCGGACGGACACACUGGGACUGAGACACGGCCCAGACUCCUACGGGAGGCAGCAGUGGGGAAUUGUUCGCAAUGGGCGCAAGCCUGACGACGCAACGCCGCGUGGAGGAUGAAGACCUUCGGGUCGUAAACUCCUUUCGAUCGAGACGAAUGUUUUUCGGGUGAACAAUCCGGAAAAAGUGACGGUACCGAGAGAAGAAGCCCCGGCUAACUCUGUGCCAGCAGCCGCGGUAAUACAGGGGGGGCAAGCGUUGUUCGGAAUUACUGGGCGUAAAGGGCUCGUAGGUGGCCAACUAAGUCAGACGUGAAAUCCCUCAGCUUAACUGGGGAACUGCGUCUGAUACUGGAUGGCUUGAGUUCGGGAGAGGGAUGCGGAAUUCCA